CAACAAUGAACAACAUCAUCAUCCUCAUCUGGACUCUCACACUGUUUGCUCAAGAGUGUAGAGGACAGGUCACUAUAACUCAGAGUCCAUCAAUAACAGCAGCUCAACCAGGACAAGAAGUCAGAAUAAACUGUAAAACCAGCAGUUCAGUGUAUUAUGGUAACUACUUAUACUGGUAUUUACAGAAACCUGGAGAAGCUCCUAAACUUCUCAUAUAUGCUGCAACAAACCGUUACACUGGAACUCCAUCUAGAUUCAGUGGCAGUGGAUCUAACAGUGAUUUCACUCUGACCAUCAGUGGAGUCCAGACUGAAGAUACAGGAGAUUAUUACUGUCAGAGUGCACAUCAGAUCACUACAUCAGUAAUAGCUGGGUGUUCACAGUGAUAAAGAGUCGUACAA